AUGGACCAUAUUUAUUCAACAGAUUUAUUAAUGGACUCUCAUCGUUUUGAAUAUUUUGCCUCUAUUAGCAAUGCUGUGAUAAACAUUCUUAUAAGAGGAGUGCUUCAGGAAAAUGUGUUCAAACUUCAAAGGAGAGUUUUAUGGAAAAGUAUUUUGGAUGACCUGGGAGAUACACAAGGUAAAGGAGGAGACCUUUGUAAGAGACAUAAUUUGGAAGGAGUGUUGAAUAGUAAGUUAGUCAUGAUACCCAUUCUGCAGUAAAUGUAGAGAAGGGUAUGAGAAUACUUAUAAUAAAGAAGUUUCUAAGAAUAAUUUCA
rnacentral:lncRNA from 1 species